rnacentral:lncRNA from 1 species
GGGGAGAUACAUAUGAAUUUAUGAAAUGAUCAGAACCUGUUACUACUACCUGACACAGUCAUCUUAUUUAAUUCAUACCUCGAGUUUUAGACAUUUCAUUGAGGUGAUUCUAGUUGGGUUAGUUUCAUAAUUUUGGAUAUUAUGAUCUAGGAAUUUUUCACUAACUUUGGAUAUCCUGACUAAGAGUUACACUUGAUUUAUUGGAAUGAACAGAAUCUAUUUUAACUGAACUUCUUAUCGCUUUAUCUCUCUGGAUAUCCCUUUGUACAACUAUCUAAAUCUCAUAUUCCUAAGAAUUAGAUGGUGAACAUCAAGUUUGGAUUAGAAGUUGAUCAGCCCGCACAACCUCACCAAAGAAGCAACAACUCCAACC